CGUUGAGGAGGUGGUGGCAGCGGCAGCGGCAGCGCCUGCCCCUGCGGCCGCGGAGGUGGUCGUUGAGGAGCCCAAGCCCCUCUUCAAUGUUAGCAGCUUCUUCAGUGGCUUCGCGAAGCGUGAAGAGCAGCAACGAGAGCCAGAGCCGGAGCCAGCACCGGCGCCGGCACCGGCACCGGAACCCGCAUUGGCAGUCGCUGCAGCCGCGCCGGCGCCCGUACCUGCCAAGGCCGAGGCGCCAGCACCCAAGCCCGCUGCGACUAAGCCGGCGCCACAGAAG
rnacentral:lncRNA from 1 species